UCGGGAAUAUUGCGCAAUGGAGGAAACUCUGACGCAGUGACGCCGCGUGCAGGAAGAAGGUUUUCGGAUUGUAAACUGCUUUAGACAGGGAAGAAACAAGACAGUACCUGUAGAAUAAGCUCCGGCUAACUACGUGCCAGCAGCCGCGGUAAUACGUAGGGAGCAAGCGUUAUCCGGAUUUAUUGGGUGUAAAGGGUGCGUAGACGGGAAAUUAAGUUAGUUGUGAAAUCCCUCGGCUUAACUGAGGAACUGCAACUAAAACUGAUUUUCUUGAGUGUUGGAGAGGAAAGUGGAAUUCCUAGUGUAGCGGUGAAAUGCGUAGAUAUUAGGAGGAACACCAGUGGCGAAGGCGACUUUCUGGACAAUAACUGACGUUGAGGCACGAAAGUGUGGGGAGCAAACAGG
rnacentral:rRNA from 1 species